AAAGUUUCCAUCAUUUAUAGAGAAAUUUUAAAAAUCUGAGCAGAUAGACCAAUUGAAAUAAGAAAUAAAGAAAUUACUCCAAUUUCAUGUAAUUUUUAUACUGCUAAAACAUUAUCUUUCUCCUAGACGCGGGCCCCGCCUGACAUCACGUGUCUUUGCCUGAAAGUAUCCUUCAGGUUUGAUGUGAAUCAGAAGAGAGUUUUGUCCUUCGCCAUCCUAUCACCAAUUCCUAUACUGUACCAGCA
rnacentral:lncRNA from 1 species